UUCCUGAUGGCUCAGAUGGUAAAGCGUCUGCCUACAAUGCAGGAGACCCAGGUUCAAUCCCUGGGUUGGGAA
rnacentral:tRNA from 1 species